GCGGGAAUAGCUCAGCUGGUAGAGCACCACCUUGCCAAGGUGGGGGUCGCGGGUCCGAAUCCCGUUUCCCGCUCCA
rnacentral:tRNA from 1 species